rnacentral:rRNA from 1 species
UGGGGAAUCUUGCGCAAUGGGGGAAACCCUGACGCAGCGACGCCGCGUGCGGGAUGAAGGCCUUCGGGUUGUAAACCGCUUUCAGCAGGGACGAGGCCUUAUGGUGACGGUACCUGCAGAAGAAGCUCCGGCUAAAGACGUGCCAGCAGCCGCGGUAAUACGUAUGGAGCAAGCGUUAUCCGGAUUCAUUGGGCGUAAGGCGCUCGUAGGCGGUCUGUUAGGUCGGCAAGUUAAAUCCGGGGGCUCAACCCCCGUCCGCUUCCGAUACCGGCAGACUUGAGUUUGGUAGGGGAAGGUGGAAUUCCUAGUGUAGCGGUGGAAUGCGCAGAUAUUAGGAAGAACACCGGUGGCGAAGGCGGCCUUCUGGGCCAUAACUGACGCUGAGGAGCGAAAGCUAGGGGAGCGAACAGG